rnacentral:rRNA from 1 species
AGGAUAAGUUAGAAAGGGCGCACGGUGAAUGCCUUGGCACUAGGAGCCGAUGAAGGACGCGACGAACCGCGAUAGGCUUCGGGGAGCUGUAAGUAAGCUUCGAUCCGGAGAUUUCCGAAUGGGGGAACCCACCAUCCGUAAUGGGAUGGUACUGGCAUCUGAACACAUAGGAUGUCGAGAGGCAGACCCGGGGAACUGAAACAUCUAAGUACCCGGAGGAAGAGAAAGCAAAUGCGAUUUCCUGAGUAGCGGCGAGCGAAACGGAAACAGCCCAAACCAAGAGGCUUGCCUCUUGGGGUUGUAGGACACUCAACAACGGAGUGAUCAAGAAACGGAGUAGGUGAACUGUCUGGAAAGGCAGGCCGAAGAAGGUAACAGCCCUGUAGCUGAAACUUCGUUUCCUCCAGAGUGGAUCCUGAGUACGGCGGGACACGUGAAACCCCGUCGGAAUCCGGGAGGACCAUCUCCCAAGGCUAAAUACUCCCUAGUGACCGAUAGUG